UGAACAAUUAAGAGUGUAAAUAUCUAUUGUUAGGUUAAAAAUUUAAAUAAUUAAAAGUUUGUAUGCAAAUGUAGUCUUAUCCCUUUUUCUUUUCAUCUAAGGAUAUGGCACAAGAUUAAGAAGUUUUGUUCUAAGAGUACCAAUUCUUAUUGUUUAAUGCCUAAUGCUAAUGACGGGAAUGAUGGAAUAGAUUAAUUUUACACACACACACACACACACACACACACACACACACACACACACAAUUUCAGUGAACUUGAUCUCAUUCUCUCACCGCUCAGCAAACUGGCGACAACACUCACAAUAAGACACUUUACUAUUUAUAUAACUUGCCAUUCAGUAUUUAUCUGCAGUAUCAAUUGUGACUUGAAAUAAAUUAACAUAAUUCAUUAUCUUAUAAUUUCCAGUUUGAUUAGACAAAUGGUCCAUGUGCAUACUUAAUAGGAUGACUGCACUUUACAUCUCUCUAGAUCUCCAUUAAAAGAGAAGCUGAAAAUGCAGUGCUUAAGCUCAUUGGCUGACAUCUCUCUGUGUCCGGAUCAUCUGUUUAGAAUAAACAUGGCUGGACAAUGUGAUAUUCUAAGUCCACAAACUGCGUAAUUGAAGAAUUUCAGAGAUGCACCCAGACGUGGGAUAGCUCUGUCCUCAGUCUAGGUUUGGAAGGCAGGCACGCAAGUACCUAAAGAAAGACAACAGAUGAAAGCUGGCAGCCUCUUCAUUUCCAGACAGUACACUUUUCUGAAUUUAGCAAGACUUUCCCUCCCCCCAGAGCCUUCCAUUACAGCAAGAGAUAAUUCUAGCUGCUUGAAGAAACAAAGGAGCAAGUUGGAAUGCAGUGACAGCUCUAUAAUGCAAUAAUAGGGUGCAUGUCUUUGGAGCGGAAUGGAGCAACUGAAAACAGACGGUACCACCAGUAAUCCUGUCUGGACCCAUCACUGAGCUUGCUCCACAAAUGUAAGAACUCUUCUGUUUUUGCCCCAGGCAUAACACUUCUGUUAUUCAUAGGCUCCCAUGUGUUUAUAUGUUGUCACAUUGUCAUGAGAAGAAAAUAAAUGACAUGUGAGAUAUUCUGAGAAUCUUAAU
rnacentral:lncRNA from 1 species